CAACUCUCAACAACGGAUAUCUUG
rnacentral:piRNA from 1 species